rnacentral:rRNA from 1 species
GAUGAACGCUGGCGGCGUGCCUAAUACAUGCAAGUCGAGCGAACGGACGAGAAGCUUGCUUCUCUGAUGUUAGCGGCGGACGGGUGAGUAACACGUGGAUAACCUACCUAUAAGACUGGGAUAACUUCGGGAAACCGGAGCUAAUACCGGAUGAUAUUUUGAACCGCAUGGUUCAAAAGUGAAAGACGGUCUUGCUGUCACUUAUAGAUGGAUCCGCGCUGCAUUAGCUAGUUGGUAAGGUAACGGCUUACCAAGGCAACGAUGCAUAGCCGACCUGAGAGGGUGAUCGGCCACACUGGAACUGAGAAACGGUCCAGACUCCUACGGGAGGCAGCAGUAGGGAAUCUUCCGCAAUGGGCGAAGGCCUGACGGAGCAACGCCGCGUGAGUGAUGAAGGUCUUCGGAUCGUAAAACUCUGUUAUUAGGGAAGAACAUAUGUGUAAGUAACUGUGCACAUCUUGACGGUACCUAAUCAGAAAGCCACGGCUAACUACGUG